GGUGCGUGGGACGAGGGACCGAGGGGCUGCCGGUGUGUUUCCCUGGGCUACCCGGCGGCGAACCUGUGGCCGAAGGGUGCGGUGAACUGCGCAGCCCGGAACUUGAGCCCUGAGACUUCGCACCAGGUGAAAGAGAAUACACUCCGGUUGUGAAACACGCAUUUCUCAUCGCCGUUCUGUUUCUUUCCCUGAGAGCUCUCCUGACUCGGACCUGCUUUCUGCAACGCUUUCCGCCUUCCCAGGCACCCCCUCCCCCAGCCCUGUAGUUCUCUGUCCUUAAAGUUUAGGAACGAAUUGAGACAAGGCUUUCUGUACGUCGGGACAGGGACUUCGCUGGUGGCACAGUGGUUAAGAAUCCGCCUGCCAGUGCAGGGACAGGGGUUCGAGCCCUGGUCGAGGAAGAUCCCACACGCCGCAGGGCAGCUAAGCCGGUGCACCACAACUACUGAGCCUGCGCUCUAGAGCCCACGCUCGCAGCCAGCGCACUGCAACGAAGAGUAGCCCCUGCUCACCGCAACUAGAGAAAAGCCCACGUGGAGCAACGAAAACCCAACGCAGCCAAAAAUUAAUUAAAUUAAAUUUUUAAAAAAGAUGUAUUUGUCUUUAAAACGUGAAUAUUUUAAGCCAAAUGGUUUCAGGGUUGAAUUUUGGUUUUGUCCAAUUUAUAAGUGGGUCGUGGCUCCAUGUCUCCAGUUCGGUUUAUAAAUGGUGAGAAGUCCUGAGCGGCUGAAGUGUUUUUUAAAUUAA